rnacentral:tRNA from 1 species
GUUCAUUUUGUCUAAUGUGGAUAAGACAAGAGUUUUUUAAGGCUUUCUAUUUAAAUCAAUUUAUAUAUCAAAUA